UACGUAGGGGGCAAGCGUUGUCCGGAUUUAUUGGGCGUAAAGAGCGUGUAGGCGGUUUGGUAGGUCCGUUGUGAAAACUCGAGGCUCAACCUCGAGACGCCGAUGGAAACCCUCAGACUAGAGUCCGGAAGAGGAGAGUGGAAUUCCUGGUGUAGCGGUGAAAUGCGCAGAUAUCAGGAGGAACACCGAUGGCGAAGGCAGGUCUCUGGGCCACUACUGACGCUGAGAAGCGAAAGCAUGGGGAGCGAACAGG
rnacentral:rRNA from 1 species